UCUCCUGCAGCAGAUGGGAGACCAGUUUCUUCACUCCCUGGAAGGCCACCAAGGCUGUAGAUCAAGCCAAAUGCACUGGUAGUCCCAAGGAUUAAAAAUGGACUGAGACUCAGUCUUGCUAUGGACUUCCUGUGUGACCUUGGAUACUUCCACAUGAAGAAAGGCACUGCACUGGUAUUUUUACUUCAGUCCAGCUUCUCCAUCUACCACUGUAAAACUUCUGUAAGAAGAAAUGAAAGGUUAAUACCAACACC